GGAAAGGAGUGAAUAAUUUUCAAAGAAGUGAAGGAUUUUUUUUUUUAAGUUCAUUUUGCAACUUGGAAUUUCUGCGGCCAUGAGGAAGUCUGUAAGUCCCAGAAAAGGAUGGCUAGAAGGCCUUGCUGUUAUUGGAUGUGCUGCUCUCCAAAAGAGAUGGGUGACUCACUCUUCCACCAAGGAACAAGGACAGACCUAACCCCUUAAUGAGG